AAAUCUUGCAAGUCACUUUGUGUGAAGUUAUACUGUUCAAUCGAAGAAGGGCAGGAGAAGUGUCUAAAAUAAGACAGACACCUUCAUAUGUUCUCAGAGACACCUCGAAUGUACAUUCUGAUGUUGCUGAUGCAUUAUCUGAAGUGGAGAAGAGGCUGUGUGAGCAUUUCCAACGUAUCGAAAUCCGAGGAAAGCGUGACAGAAAGGUACCCAUUCUCCUCACUCCAGAGAUGCUAACGUCGAUGGAGCUGCUUGUGAAAAAUCGACAAGCAUGUGGAGUAAUGGAUGAAAAUCAGUUCAUGUUUGCAAGGCCUGGAGCAGAGACCUAUUUCAGAGGAUCAGACGGUGUUCGAUUAUUUGCCAGUCAGUGUGGAGCAAAACAUCCCAAGACUACUCCUCUACCAGACUACGAAAACACGUGUCCACCUUAUCGAAGGUCCUUAAUCUCAAAGAUACAGAGAUGGAUCAGUUAGCUGAUUUCCUCGAUCACGAUAUUAGGGUUCAUCGGAAAUUUUACCGGCUACCAGAAGGAACGUUACAGCUGGCAAAAAUCAGCAAAGUGCUCAUGGCCUUGGAGCAGGGAUGGAUUUCAGAGUUCAAGCGCAGAAACCUUGAAGAUAUAAACAUCGAACCUAACGAGAAGGUGAACUUUGAGAGUGAUCUGUCUGAAAGUGAGAAUGAGGAUGAGACAGAACAACUAAUCAUGACCGGUCAGUCUCCUUCAACAUCCAGAGAUACCAAGAAAGUACCUUCAGACAGUAACGAACGAGUCUGAAGAUCAAAAGGGAAAUGCACAAAAAAAAAAACGAAAGUCACGUCAGUCAUCUUCAGUGUCCGAAGCAGGACAUGAUCCGAGUCAGACUUGGAGCAGAAGAUCCGUCCGUGGCCGAGGUGGGCAGCACACGACCCACACAUCCACGAGACCACGAACCUAUGACACACAACACACACACAAAAAAAACAAAACAAAACAUAUGAU